GUUCUCUUUUAGGGUAACUGAUUUUUCAAACCUGUAUUACAGACUGCUUAGGGCAUGACUACAUCUCUCACCACAUGGCUUGGUCAAGCAGGUGUACCAGGACACGCAGGAGGCAAUUGGAAGCCACAAAGCACAGCUUCUCCCUAUAACACAUGUUCUUAACUUGCUGCUUCUCUUAGAAAGCUGAGAGAAUCUAGUGGUCCCAGCAUCUUCUAAACAAUCAGCUCCUGGAAAGCCCAAGAAGCAACCAAGAUGCUCCCAGAAAUCCAGUCAAGUGAAAAGAUCAUUUCUGCUUCAAUCCUCAAUUCAGAUGAUAAUCCCAGGGAGACAGCAUAAAUACUGAAGCACUUCAAGGAAAAAGAACCAUGCCUAGCCUGCUUGCCUUCUCCAUCUGCUUCCUGGAUUUCCUGGCUGUCCUUAAGAAUCAGCUCAAAUCCUACCUUGUGCAGGAGACCAUCCCUAUCUUGCUCAUGUGCCUUGUCUCAGAGAUCACUUCCUAUUUACACUGCAUUCAUCUUGCGGGUUUGGAGUUAUUUGCAUGCUAUUAUUUCUUAUUAAAAGAUGAGUACUUUGAGAGCAAGAACCAUGUUUUUGUAUUCUCAGUAUUUAGCACAGUGCCUGGCAUACAAUAAAUACUUAACUAAAUGCUUGCUAAUUGAUUGAUAACCUAGCUGAGAGGCAAAUGAUGAUAUUAUACUGGAUGAUCUCUAAGGUUCCUGACAGCUUUAAAUCUUAAGAUCGGUUAUAAUUAUGACAAAAUUAGUGUCUAGGUUGGCAGGGGAGUUAAACUAUUUUCACCAUUAUUAGGCGAUGAGAGGUAAUGAGGAACUCUGGCAUCAAUUCUAGUUAGCUCUGACUUUCCAUCUCAGUUGGGAGAUUAAAGAUUUGUAUGGAGAAGCACAAAAAAUAAUAAUUUCUACAGUUUUUCCUAUUGGGUUAGGUGCCAGAUGGCCCAGAUUUUGCUAUAAAUUUUCUUAUUUUAAAAAACUAAACAGGCCAUGCUAAGCAAUAAACACUGAAAAAUUAUAAACAGUUUUAAAAAAGGCUUACUGGAAUUGCUAUAAAUGAAUGAUUUUCAGUGAACACAUGGUACAUACAUGA